rnacentral:lncRNA from 1 species
GAGGUUACCUUGAUCCCUUUUGUAUUGGAGUGAAGGGAGCUCCUCAAGUAUGCUCUGACCCAUCUCCUUUCCUUAUCUUCUCUUUCGCCGUUUCUGAACUUUCAUCAUCUUAUUAGCUAGAGGACGAAGAAAGCAGUGUAUACCUUUGGAUGACUACCGAGCUUUCAUUUGAACGUGUAACUUUCAUCAAUCAUUUGCUGCAGAUUAAUGCAAAAACGGUAAGGAUGUCUAUCUUUUCGUUUAAUAUAUCCCGACACAUCUCUUGACUUUCUCCUAAUCCAUCUCCAACGAGAGAGAUGAUAUUGUAAAAUGGAACUUUUACAAGACUUACAUUUGUGUGUUGCAUGACAUGCCGGAUGAAUCUCGAGACCGUGUGGUCUUCGGCUCUCCCGUGUUCAGUUUGGAGUGGGACGGCCUAUAUCGGUGAUUGGAAUAUGGAGCUUCUUUGGGCUUCGUGGUGCUUGAAAGGAGUUGCUCUUCCGACUCUGCUGGUGAAGCGAUCAUGGCAUGCCACUACUUACCAUCUAUGGCUUGCACUCAGAAUGAUCGGGUUAAACAAACAGUUAUUUAUCGUCUCUAGAGACCGGAUUCUUCAUUAGUAUGAUUGAGCGUGAUUUAUGGAUUGAGAGAUUAGCAAUUAUCAGCUAUAGUAGCUCCUUCCUUUGUCUGCAGAUGUCUGUCAAAAACUGGAAUUCAACACGAGCUUGUAAGUCGAAGCAGCACGAUACCAUCCAUCCAGUUUUUGUGCAAAUAGGACUUUUUGCUCACUUACAGUGGCAUGAUUUUUCGUUUCGAAUGUAUUUGAUAAUUCAUUAGGUAUGUGGAAGAUCCACACAUAUAUUGCAU